AAUCUGGCUGUCUUCGAUAGUCCGAGUUGUAAUCUAUAGACGUGUUUUCCGUGCUGGACCGUAUCUAAGUCCCUUGGAACAGGGUAUCAAAGAGGGUGACAAUCCCGUGCUUGAUACGACCACCAGUGCUCUGUGAUACACGCUCUACGAGUCGAGUUGUUUGGGAAUGCAGCUCAAAAUGGGUGGUAAAUUCCAUCUAAAGCUAAAUAUUGGCGAGAGACCGAUAGCGAACAAGUACCGUGAGGGAAAGAUGAAAAGCACUUUGGAAAGAGAGUUAAACAGUACGUGAAAUUGUUGAAAGGGAAACGAUUGAAGUCAGUCGUGUUCUUUGGAUUCAGCUAGUUCUUCUAGUCUACUUCCAUUGAACGGGUCAACAUCAGUUUUGUCCGGUGGAUAAAGAUAGUAGGAAUGUAGCUCCCCCGGGAGUGUUAUAGACUAUUAUUGCAUACACUGGGUGAGACUGAGGACUGCAGCUCGCCUUUUGGCCGGUCUUCGGACACGUUCGAGCUUAGGAUGUUGACAUAAUGGCUUUAAACG
rnacentral:rRNA from 1 species